rnacentral:rRNA from 1 species
AUGCCUGGGAAAUUGCCCUGAUGUGGGGGAUAACCAUUGGAAACGAUGGCUAAUACCGCAUGAUGUCUACGGACCAAAGAGGGGGACCUUCGGGCCUCUCGCGUCAGGAUAUGCCCAGGUGGGAUUAGCUAGUUGGUGAGGUAAGGGCUCACCAAGGCGACGAUCCCUAGCUGGUCUGAGAGGAUGAUCAGCCACACUGGAACUGAGACACGGUCCAGACUCCUACGGGAGGCAGCAGUGGGGAAUAUUGCACAAUGGGCGCAAGCCUGAUGCAGCCAUGCCGCGUGUAUGAAGAAGGCCUUCGGGUUGUAAAGUACUUUCAGCAGUGAGGAAGGUGGUUAUGUUAAUAGCAUAGUCAUUUGACGUUAGCUGCAGAAGAAGCACCGGCUAACUCCGUGCCAGCAGCCGCGGUAAUACGGAGGGUGCGAGCGUUAAUCGGAAUUACUGGGCGUAAAGCGCAUGCAGGUGGUCUGUUAAGUCAGAUGUGAAAGCCCCGGGCUCAACCUGGGAAUUGCAUUUGAAC